UUGGAGGGCAAKUCUGGUGCCAGCAGCCGCGGUAAUUCCAGCUCCAAUAGCGUAUAUUAAAGUUGUUGCAGUUAAAAAGCUCGUAGUUGAAUUUCGGGAUCAGAUUGUCGGUCGUGCCUCGGUACGCACUGGUAUUAUUGGUUCCUACCUUCUGAAGAACCGCGAUGUCAUUAAUUUGGUGUCGUGGGGAAUCAGGACUGUUACUUUGAAAAAAUUAGAGUGUUUAAAGCAGGCUUACGCUUGAAUACAUUAGCAUGGAAUAAUGAAAUAGGACGUUUGAUUCUAUUUUGUUGGUUUCUAGGAUAGACGUAAUGAUUAAUAGGGAUAGUUGGGGGCAUUAGUAUUCAAUUGUCAGAGGUGAAAUUCUUGGAUUUAUUGAAGACUAACUACUGCGAAAGCAUUUGCCAAGGAUGUUCUCAUUAAUCAAGAACGAAAGUUAGGGGAUCGAAGACGAUCAGAUACCGUCGUAGUCUUAACCAUAAACUAUGCCGACUAGGGAUCGGAUGAUGUUAAUUUUUUAAUGACUCAUUCGGCGCCUUACGGGAAACCAAAGUGUUUGGGUUC
rnacentral:rRNA from 1 species